rnacentral:rRNA from 1 species
GACGAACGCUGGCGGCGUGCCUAACACAUGCAAGUCGAGCGAAAAGAUCAGGAGUUUGCUCGUCUGACGUUAGCGGAGGACGGGUGAGUAACAUGUGUAUAACCUACCUAUAAGACUGGGAUAAUCUCGGGAAACCGGAUCUAAUACCGGAUAAUAUAUUGAACCGCAUUGGUCAAUAGUGAAAGUCGGUUUUGCUGUCACUUAUAGCUGGAUCCGAGCCGCAUUAGCUAGUUGUUAAGGUAAUGGCUUAUCAAGGCUAGGAUGCGUAGCCGACCUGAGUGGGUGAUCGGCCACAUGGGAGCUGAGACAGGCACCAUACUCCUGCGGUAGGCAGCAGUAGAGAAUCGUACGCAAUGGGGGAGAGCCUGACAGAGCAGGACGGCGUGAGUUGUGAAGGUGUUCGGUGCGGAAAGCUCUGUUAUUAGGUGUGAACAAAUGUGUAAUUAACUGUGCUCGUAGUGACGGUACCGGGUCAAAAAGCCACGGCUAACUACGUG